GAUGAACGCUGGCGGCGUGCCUAAUACAUGCAAGUCGAGCGAACAGACGAGGAGCUUGCUCCUCUGACGUUAGCGGCGGACGGGUGAGUAACACGUGGAUAACCUACCUAUAAGACUGGGAUAACUUCGGGAAACCGGAGCUAAUACCGGAUAAUAUAUUGAACCGCAUGGUUCAAUAGUGAAAGACGGUUUUGCUGUCACUUAUAGAUGGAUCCGCGCCGCAUUAGCUAGUUGGUAAGGUAACGGCUUACCAAGGCAACGAUGCGUAGCCGACCUGAGGGGGUGACCGCCCACCCUGAACCUGGACCCCGGCCCAACCCCCACGGGAGGCAGCAGUAGGGAAUCUUCCGCAAUGGGCGAAAGCCUGACGGAGCAACGCCGCGUGAGUGAUGAAGGUCUUCGGAUCGUAAAACUCUGUUAUUAGGGAAGAACAAAUGUGUAAGUAACUAUGCACGUCUUGACGGUACCUAAUCAGAAAGCCACGGCUAACUACGUG
rnacentral:rRNA from 1 species